GACGGAGGAUGCAAGCGUUAUCCGGAAUUAUUGGGCGUAAAGCGUCCGCAGGUGGACAUACAAGUCUGCUGUGAAAGUGCAGAGCUUAACUCUGUAAAGGCGGUGGAAACUGUAGGUCUUGAGUAUGGUAGGGGUAGAGGGAAUUCCCGGUGUAGCGGUGAAAUGCGUAGAUAUCGGGAAGAACACCAGUGGCGAAAGCGCUCUGCUGGGCCAUAACUGACACUGAGGGACGAAAGCUAGGGGAGCGAAAGGG
rnacentral:rRNA from 1 species